rnacentral:lncRNA from 1 species
UUCUUUUGGGUUUCCUUUGCUGUGCAAAAGCUUUUCAGUUGGAUGAGGUCCCAUGGGUUUACUUUUGCUCUAAUUUCUAUUGCUUUGGGAGACUGACCUGAGAAAAUAUUCAUGAUGUUGAUGUCGAGAGUGUUUUGCCUUAUGUUUUCUUCUAGGAUUUUGAUGGUGUCCUGUCGUAUAUUUAAGUCUUUCAGCCAUUUUGAGUUUAUUUUUGUGCAUGGUGUGAGGGUGCCAGCUCCAGUGGCCAGAGAGUGUACACUUUUCCCAAAGGAGAGGGACGCACAUAGGCUUUUGCAGCAGAGACAGCCUCUUUGUCCCUUCUUUCAGGGCAGUGGACUGCUCAAAUUUUAUUGGUAACAGUGGGUGAUUAUAUAGACAGCUUUUCACUACAAAUUACAUCAUAGUGUUAAAAGUACAUUGGUUAACUUUUACAUGGUACAGCAGCUAUACAUCACGUUCUAACAUCUUUGUCUUAACUAAAUUUAGUGAGGACAUUUUAAGGGCAAUUAGGUACAAUACAUCACAUGGAAAGGAGGAGACUCAGUACAAAUCAUCCCAUGGCCAGCAAGUCUCCACAAGUUGAAGAGGUCACAGACACAAGAAUUUGGCAUUCACAAAUCUUGUUUUUAGACUAGUGAUUAUCUUUAAAGCGUUAUGCAGGGAGACAGUGUAAGAAAACAUAAACCAACUUAACUAGCUAUUACUUAAAAGCUUCUAUAACUCAUAGCUAGGUGUCUUUUGAUCAAGAAUAAUAUAUGUCUAACUUCUGUGAACCUCAUUAAAGUCCUAACUCUAAAGUUUACUCUAUAACUAGUUAGUAGCUAAACACUAUGUUUUAACUAAGUUGGAUUUAAAUAGGGGAAAGUCCUUCAGGAUGAAAUUCAUAUUAUGUUGUUGUAACUUUGUUAAAUCACAAAUCACCACAGGAAAAUAAGAAUAAUAAGUAAAUAAUCAGGAAAGGCUGAGGAAAACUGAAUAACAAAUAAAACAACAGGAAAGACUAGGUUGCCCGAGAAACAAUCCAUGUUCUCCAGCGCAAACAUGGAAAUAGUUUUUCCAGGAAAGCCCCAAUUCUUCCCCAUCAACAUCAAAAUGAGAGCUGUGUAACCUGAGGCCUGCCCUUGGCUUGUACCAUGCAGGUGGCUUUUUAUCCUGACCAGAAGCCCACCUUCGGCUUGUACCAUUCAGGUGAACUCCCUUCCUUGGUUAGAAACCUGCCUUCAGGUUUUUCUGCCAUCAGGCAAGGUCCUUUUUUUGAGUCCCUGCAUCUUCUCAGCUCCCCGCAAUUCCCAGACCCUAUAUUGAAGCUGAUUAAAAGAAAAUCCAUGCGUUGUAUCUGUUCUUAGACUGCUCCCAUUUAAGCAACUGGUUUAUUUUUAUCUUCAGUUGCUGUGAAUUCCAUGACUGACCAGAAAGCUUGGAGCCAAAUAUAAUUACCAUCUGCAUUUUCAGAGUCAUUCCUGGCUCAAUUUUAUGUCCCCACCCUUGUUUAUUCCUUCUUUUUCACUUGUCUAACAUUAUUUUCAGUUUACCCUAUCUUCCCUUUCUUCCAUGCUACCUUCAAAUUUUUCAGAACUCUUCAGAAGUAAGAGCUACUAUAAAUAUAAAUAAUUUCUUAAGUCAGAGAAGAAAAUCCACCAAAAUGGGAAAAUAAUGGUUACCUCUGGCUAGUAAAGCAUAGACUUUUAAAAUUUGCUUCUUCAUAAAGGGUAUCACACUCUCUGACCAUCAACAUUCUUUCUUUUAUAAAUAUAAAAACAUUUUAAAAUUUCAGACAAACUGUAAGAUUCCAUUUAGUUUUCUUUUUUAAUUUUGCGUAUUGGCAAAAGUAUGGUGGUCCACUAGCAGAGGUUAAAGAUGAAGCUGGAGACAUUUGUGAGGAGAGGGGCUAUGACAGUUUAAUUUCAUGUGUCAAAUUGACUGAGCUCACAGUUUGGUCAAACAUUGUUCUGGGUGUUUCUGUGAAGGUUAUUUGCGGAAUGAGAUCAGCAUUUAAAUCAGUGGACUGAGUAAAGCAGAUUAUUCUCUGUAAUGUGGGUGGGCCUCAUCCAAUCAGUUGAAGGUCUUAAUAACAUAAAGACUGACUUCCC